GACGAACGCUGGUGGCGUGCUUAACACAUGCAAGUCGAACGGUAAGGCCCUUCGGGGUACACGAGUGGCGAACGGGUGAGUAACACGUGGGUGAUCUGCCCUGCACUUCGGGAUAAGCCUGGGAAACUGGGUCUAAUACCGGAUAGGACCACUGCCUGCAUGGGUGGUGGUGGAAAGCUUUUGCGGUGUGGGAUGGGCCCGCGGCCUAUCAGCUUGUUGGUGGGGUGAUGGCCUACCAAGGCGACGACGGGUAGCCGGCCUGAGAGGGUGACCGGCCACACUGGGACUGAGAUACGGCCGAGAGUCCUACGGGAGGCAGCAGUGGGGAAUAUUGCACAAUGGGCGCAAGCCUGAUGCAGCGACGCCGCGUGAGGGAUGACGGCCUUCGGGUUGUAAACCUCUUUCAGCACCGACGAAGCGCAAGUGACGGUAGGUGCAGAAGAAGGACCGGCCAACUACGUGCCAGCCGCCGCAGUAA
rnacentral:rRNA from 1 species